rnacentral:rRNA from 1 species
AAGAAGCAAGACCGCGAGGUGGAGCAAAACUCAAAAAAUGGUCUCAGUUCGGACUGCAGGCUGCAACCCGCCUGCACGAAGUUGGAAUUGCUAGUAAUCGUGGAUCAGCAUGCCACGGUGAAUACGUUCCCGGGUCUUGUACACACCGCCCGUCACACCAUGGGAGUCGGUAACACCCGAAGUCAGUAGUCUAACCGCAAGGAGGACGCUGCCGAAGGUGGGAUUGACGACUGGGGUGAAGUCGUAACAAGGUAUC